rnacentral:rRNA from 1 species
UACGUAGGGGGCAAGCGUUGUCCGGAUUUAUUGGGCGUAAAGAGCGUGUAGGCGGCCAUUCAGGUCAGCUGUGAAAACUCGAGGCUCAACCUCGAGACGUCGGUUGAAACCGUUUGGCUAGAGUCCGGAAGAGGAGAGUGGAAUUCCCGGUGUAGCGGUGAAAUGCGCAGAUAUCGGGAAGAACACCCGUGGCGAAGGCGGCUCUCUGGGACGGUACUGACGCUGAGACGCGAAAGCGUGGGGAGCGAAACAGG